rnacentral:sRNA from 1 species
ACACUAAAAAGGCUUGUUCUUGGUUCUCGAAGCUUUGCUCGUGUUGCCAUAGUUCUUAUGCGUCCUUCAAUUUGUAUCUUCUAACAUGGAAACACUACAUAGGCUUUUAAGAUCCGGUUUCUGUUCUAGUUCUUAUACUCAAUCAUACACAUGUAUCUAGUCAUAUUUGACUCCAAAACAAUAUCAAGUUUCUUCUUGCUUCUCCAAGCUUUGAUGGCGUAGCCGAAAUCCGUAUGAAUAUUUGGCUUUGUAUCUUCUAACAAGGAAACACUAGGCUUUUAAGAUCAUGUUAGAGUUCUAAGUCUUAACUCAAUCAUACACAUGACAUCUAGUCAUUUGUGACUAGAAAAAACUAACCAAGCUUCUUCCUACUUCUCAAAGCUUUGGUGGUGUAGACGAAGUCCGUAUGAGUAUUUGGCUUUGCAUCUUCUAACAAGGAAACACUACUUAUGCUUUUACGAUUCGGUUGCGGUUCUAGUUCUUAUACUUAAUCAUACACAUGACAUUUAGUCAUAUUUGAAUCCAAAGU